AGCAGUUCCGUCACUGCCACAAACUAAGCCAGCCAGGAAGAGCUCCUCAGGCGAGAACGGAGAGCUGCUGAUGGUAUUGGAGGGGGUGGCAGGAUGUAGCCCGAUGCCUGUCCAGACUACCCAAGAAUGUGUGUUCUGCAGUGUUACUGUUGCCCAGCAGGAAGAAGACCGCUACAAACUGAUGCUGAACAGGAUCGACAGUGAGAAUAUUGCCAGUAACUAUUUCCGGUCCAAGUGAGCCAGCCAGAUCCUCAGUGCUGAUCCUACAAAGAGUCUUCCUAAAUAUCUGACACUCCUCCUUUCCUUUUGUCCAUUUACCUGUAUCUCCUCCAGUGGGGUGCCAUUCCAUCUGCCAAGCUCAGCACCUCUCAUACCCCCUUAAGAUGGUUGAAGGAUAUGAAAGACACAAUCAGCCGGCUGAUGCGCUGAUCUCUCCAGCCCUACGCAUUCCAAGUUCAGGAUAGGACAGGCAAAGCUCCCCAGAACACUGACUUUCUCCAGGGAACACGGGGGAGCAAUGCGAUGGCUCAAGUUCUUCUGGCUCCAUCUUGGGGGGAGGGUUUGUGAUUGGGUGCACAAACCCCAUACUGAGCAACAAGGGGCUAAGGAAAUACUCUGGCCUAGCCAGCCCCGCCGCAUCUGUGGCAAAUGCGCCAACAUGAGGAGGGGGUAAAAGGCAGGGGAGCAGCUCAUUUUGUGGCAGACCAGGGAGGAGAGCAGACAUGCUUCCGGCAGCUCCAGGAGAGACGAGCUGAGGGAAGUCAGAAUCUCCCCCUAAACAACUGUCCAAAGGUCCCUCCCUGAGGAAAGGGGAGGCCUGCUUCAGGGACAGCCUGAGAGAGAAGCACUCCCCUCUCCCUGUCAUAUGAACUCUAGCCUUGAUUGAGCCCCUUGAUUUGCUGUUUGGACCCCCCAGCAGGGGGAAGUCCUUGGACUGAGCUGGCUUCGGGAGACUGGGCCAUACCACAGGAGGAGGCAGUUGCCACCCGAGAGGAAAGGAGAAUGACCUCACUCCAUGCAGCCGCCAGAUGGUGCCAUGGGGUGAGCAGACAACCCUCACGCUGCUUUACCCCAGACAGUGACCUUGGGACAGUUGCAGGGAGGUGGUAGGAAGUGGCCUUAAGCAUCCUGAGCUGUCAGAGCACUGAUAGCCAUACAGAGCCUGCUCCAGUUUUUUUGCUGCCCCAAGCACAUGCUUGGGAGGCUGGUGCCUAGAGCCGGCCCUGUACCCAUAGAUGCCGACCCCAUGGGUGCUCAGCAUGCACCAGCCACAAUGGUUCAGGCCUGGGCUGGCUGCUGAUCAGCUGUUUGGCGGGCCCUGGGGC